rnacentral:lncRNA from 1 species
GCGAGACUUCGUCUCAAAAAUAAAUAAAUAAAUAAAUACAUAUCAAAGCCUGAAACUAAUCACAAGAAAACACUGACAAACUCAAAAUGAGGAACAUUCUACUGAAAGAAAAGUGGUGGGGGAGAGGGCUGUAUUAUUUCAAAAUAUCAACGUCAUAGAAGACAAAGAAAAGCUAUAGAAACAUCACAGAUUAAAGGAGGCUAAAUAGACCUCACAAUUGAAUGUAAUACCUGACUGUAGCCUGAGUCCUGCACUGGAGGAAAAAAUGCUACAAACACAGUUGGGCCAAUCAACUAAAUUGGAAUACAAAUAGCCAUCUAAGACUUGGGAGAAAAGAGUUACACAAAGAAGUUUCCAGGACGGAAGAAACAGCUGGUUUCUUCUUCUUUCCUUUGCUCGGCUCCUUUCAUGAUUUGCUCACCCGGAUCUCACCAUUUGAAGAAUUCAGGAUGGGGGAAGCCUGACUUGAUCGUGGGUCAUGUGAAAAGGGCCCAGCAAUUUGCACCGACCUCAAGCCCAGCAUGAAUCAGCACCGUGGUAACUGUCACGAAAAAGGCAAAUGCUAACUUAUGCAGCAUGAGAUCAUGGGAGAGAAUGGCUCCACGCUAUUCUGGGCUGUUCUGUAAAGUUGCCUUCUUUCCAGGCACCUCUUUCAUGGGGCACUAACAAGCCAGAUGGUGUUUAAAGCAGAAUAAAGAGGGGGCUGGGGGGACUGGAAACCAUGAAAUGUGAGGAAGAAUUGAGGGACAUGAGGAUGGGGGGGACACAUAUACCUAGAGAAAAUUUACAUAAAACAUAAGAGCCAUCUUCAAAUAGCUGAAGGGUUUCUCCACAGAAAAGAGAGAAGACAUUCUUCUCUCAUACACAACAGGACAAAACAAGGAAUAAAAGUAUUAAGAAAGGUAUUAAGUGUAUUAAAAACAAUAACAUCCUGGGUGUCCAAGAAAGAAUACAAAAAAAGUUAC